UACGUAGGGGGCAAGCGUUGUCCGGAUUUAUUGGGCGUAAAGAGCUCGUAGGUGGUUCGGUAAGUCGGAUGUGAAAUCUCCAGGCUCAACCUGGAGGGGUCAUUCGAUACUGCCGUGACUAGAGUUCGGUAGGGGAGUGUGGAAUUCCUGGUGGAGCGGUGAAAUGCGCAGAUAUCAGGAGGAACACCCGUAGCGAAGGCGGCACUCUGGGCCGAUACUGACACUGAGACGCGAAGGCGUGGGGAGCGAACGGG
rnacentral:rRNA from 1 species